rnacentral:rRNA from 1 species
CCUACGGGUGGCAGCAGUGGGGAAUAUUGGGCAAUGGGCGCAAGCCUGACCCAGCAACGCCGCGUGGAGGAAGAAGGCUUUCGGGUUGUAAACUUCUUUUCUCAGGGACGAAGCAAGUGACGGUACCUGAGGAAUAAGCCACGGCUAACUACGUGCCAGCAGCCGCGGUAAUACGUAGGUGGCAAGCGUUAUCCGGAUUUACUGGGUGUAAAGGGCGUGUAGGCGGGACUGCAAGUCAGAUGUGAAAACCACGGGCUCAACCUGUGGCCUGCAUUUGAAACUGUUUUUCUUGAGUGCUGGAGAGGCAAUCGGAAUUCCGGGUGUAGCGGUGAAAUGCGUAGAUAUACGGAGGAACACCAGUGGCGAAGGCGGAUUGCUGGACAGUAACUGACGCUGAGGCGCGAAAGCGUGGGGAGCAAACAGGAUUAGAUACCCCUGUAGUC